rnacentral:lncRNA from 1 species
GACACAGCUCCAAUUGCGACUUGUUCUUGACAGCUUGCUGCCCAGUAAUCACAGAGGCAUAUGAAUUUUUGGAUCGAUUUGCAGGUUGCUUUUCCGAGUAUAUUUUAGAAGCCUCCAACAGCACAAGGCUGGGGAGAGAUCGACACUUCAAUAUGAUCGAUCAGAAUUCAAUCUUAAUUCCCUCCAUGAAAUCCGAAUGAAGUGAGACUCUAA